rnacentral:tRNA from 1 species
GCCUCUUUAGCUCAGUGGUAGAGCACUGGUCUCGUAAACCAGGGGUCAUGGGUUCAAUCCCCAUAGGAGGCA